rnacentral:rRNA from 1 species
UAUGGNUCAACCAUAGUGUGCUCUGGAAACUNUCUGACUUGAGUGCAGAAGGGGAGAGUGGAAUUCCAUGUGUAGCGGUGAAAUGCGUAGAUAUAUGGAGGAACACCAGUGGCGAAAGCGGCUCUCUGGUCUGUCACUGACGCUGAGGCUCGAAAGCGUGGGUAGCGAACAGGAUUAGAUACCCUGGUAGUCCACGCCGUAAACGAUGAGUGCUAGGUGUUAGGCCCUUUCCGGGGCUUAGUGCCGGAGCUAACGCAAUAAGCACUCCGCCUGGGGAGUACGACCGCAAGGUUGAAACUCAAAGGAAUUGACGGGGGCCCGCACAAGCGGUGGAGCAUGUGGUUUAAUUCGAAGCAACGCGAAGAACCUUACCAGGUCUUGACAUCCCGAUGCUAUUCUUAGAGAUAGGAAGUUACUUCGGUACAUCGGAGACAGGUGGUGCAUGGUUGUCGUCAGCUCGUGUCGUGAGAUGUUGGGUUAANUCCCGCAACGAGCGCAACCCUUAUUGUUAGUUGCCAUCAUUAAGUUGGGCACUCUAGCGAGACUGCCGGUAAUAAACCGGAGGAAGGUGGGGAUGACGUCAAAUCAUCAUGCCCCUUAUGACCUGGGCUACACACGUGCUACAAUGGUCGGUACAACGAGUUGCGAGCCGGUGACGGCAAGCUAAUCUCUGAAAGCCGAUCUCAGUUCGGAUUGGAGGCUGCAACUCGCCUCCAUGAAGUCGGAAUCGCUAGUAAUCGCGGAUCAGCACGCCGCGGUGAAUACGUUCCCGGGCCUUGU